rfam:Cavia porcellus supercont2_4 genomic scaffold, whole genome shotgun sequence.
GGGGAUUUAGCUCAGCGGCAUAAGCACCUGCCUUGCAAGCAGGUGGUCGUGAGUUCCGUCCCCA